ACUAAGAUACCACUACACACAAAACUAUUACCAUCAUAUUCCAUUUUCAUCUUCUACAAAAGAAUAGAAUCCACUCACACCACACCUCACGGGAAUUCACCAUAGGGAGAAAAUAAUUCUCUAUUUUUCAUCAUCUGCACACACCCACUGAUUCAGCAAUAAUAUUCAAACACGCACACACACACUCCUUCGACCAUGAACUAAAAAUAGAGAAUCGAGAGAGAAAAGACGUGAGGGAGAGAGAUAGAGAAAACAAGAGAGUUUUUGGUAAAAUUUCUCACUGAUCGGCAUUCCCUUAUCAAAUCCGACCACCUGCAGACCCAAAAAUCCCUGAAUCCUCUUCGUCU
rnacentral:lncRNA from 1 species